rnacentral:miRNA from 1 species
UCUGGAGGCACAUGGUUUGAA